rnacentral:snRNA from 1 species
GUGCUUGCUUCAGCAGUACAUAUACUAAAAUGGGACAAUGGAGAGGAUUUGCACAGCCCCUGUGCAAAGAUGACACGAAGAUCUGUGAAGCAUUCGGUUUCUU